rnacentral:rRNA from 1 species
AGCUCGUAGUUGAACCUUGGGCCUGGCUGGCCGGUCCGCCUCACCGCGUGCACUGGUCCGGCCGGGCCUUUCCCUCUGUGGAACCCCAUACCCUUCACUGGGCGUGGCGGGGAAACAGGACAUUUACUUUGAAAAAAUUAGAGUGCUCCAGGCAGGCCUAUGCUCGAAUACAUUAGCAUGGAAUAAUAAAAUAGGACGCGCGGUUCUAUUUUGUUGGUUUAUAGGACCGCCGUAAUGAUUAAUAGGGACAGUCGGGGGCAUCAGUAUUCAACUGUCAGAGGUGAAAUUCUUGGAUCAGUUGAAGACUAACUACUGCGAAAGCAUUUGCCAAGGAUGUUUUCAUUAAUCAGGAACGAAAGUUAGGGGAUCGAAGACGAUCAGAUACCGUCGUAGUCUUAACCAUAAACUAUGCCGACUAGGGAUCGGACGGUGUUAUUCAUGACCCGUUCGGCACCUUACGAGAAAUCAAAGUGCUUGGGCUCCAGGGGGAGUAUGGUCGCAAGGCUGAAACUUAAAGAAAUUGACGGAAGGGCACCACCAGGGGUGGAGCCUGCGGCUUAAUUUGACUCA